GGGCGAUUAGCUCAGCUGGCUAGAGCGCUGCCUUCACACGGCAGAGGUCGAGGGUUCGAGUCCCCCAUCGCCCACCA
rnacentral:tRNA from 2 species